CGUAGAGAAAGACGGUCGGAAGAAAAGGAAGCGCGUCUUCCUGCGGUGAAGUAUGGAUCUCCCUCCCGCGGGAGGCAGGCAGGGCCUCCGAGCUGGCAAGAAGGACGGGUUGUUAGCCCCCGGGGGUGGGACGGGGAACCUCGCCUGGCAGCUCUCCGCCCUCCCAAGACUCCCACAAUCAGGGCCGGAAGGUAAAUGCAGGCAUGCGAUAUAACAGUCCCGCACAUCUGCAGCAGGAGGAUGGAAAUUCCCAACAUUCCGAACUAACCCCGUUCCCCGGGAUUCUUUGGAAGCCAUGGCUCUUUCACGGGGUCUGAUUCUGCUUUGAAGCGCUGCCCCUUGGCUCCACCCCCACGUGCUUUGAACUUACCCCCGUCAUCCUCAGGGGGUUGGCCAGGACUUGCUAGUGCUUCUAAUUGGGAACAGACAGAACUUGGCAGAAGAAAAAG